AGUGAACGCUGGCGGUAGGCCAAACCCUUCCAGUUGGACCGCCGCAACGUAAAGAGUUGCCCUUUAGGGUGGGGGGUGGCGGGACGGGGGAGGAAUAAUCGGGAUCUUCUUUUUUGUGGGGGGUUAACUAAGGAAAACUACGGUUAUUACCCCUUAGGACUACCGGUGAAAGCCAGGGGUUUUUCGAACUUGCCCCGAUGGAUGAGGCCGAUGUCGGAUUAGCUAGUUGGCGGGGUAAAGGCCCACCAAGGCGACGAUCCGUAGCUGGUCUGAGAGGAUGAUCAGCCACACUGGAACUGAGACACGGUCCAGACUCCUACGGGAGGCAGCAGUGGGGAAUAUUGGACAAUGGGCGCAAGCCUGAUCCAGCCAUACCGCGUGGGUGAAGAAGGCCUUCGGGUUGUAAAGCCCUUUUGUUGGGAAAGAAAAGCAGCAGGUUAAUACCCCGCUGUUCUGACGGUACCCAAAGAAUAAGCACCGGCUAACUUCGUG
rnacentral:rRNA from 1 species